rnacentral:RNase_P_RNA from 1 species
AGUGUUGGUCAGGCAGUUGCUGGUGAAAGCCAGAGGAAAGUCCGGGCUCCAAAGAGUAGAGUGCCAGGUAACACCUGGGAGGUGAAAACUUACGGAAAGUGCUACAGAAACAAACCGCCCGCGAGGGUAAGGGUGAAAGGGUGCGGUAAGAGCGCACCGCAGCUUUGGUAACAAAGCUGGCUAGGCAAACCCCACUCGGAGCAAGAUCAAGUAAAGGUCGCACAUGUGACUCGCAUUUGACCUGGGUAGAUCGCUUGAGGCUGGUGGUGACAUCAGUCCCAGAUAAAUAACUGUCCUCGACAGAACCCGGCUUAUCGACCAACACUAACU